rnacentral:rRNA from 1 species
AGCCAGCAGCCGCGGUAAUACGAAGGUCCCAAGCGUUAUCCGGAUUUAUUGGGUUUAAAGGGUGCGUAGGCGGGCUAUUAAGUCAGUGGUGAAAGCCCCAAGCUUAACUUGGGAACUGCCAUUGAUACUGAUGGUCUUGAGUACAUUUGAGGUGGGCGGAAUGUGUCAUGUAGCGGUGAAAUGCUUAGAUAUGACACAGAACACCGAUUGCGAAGGCAGCUCACUAAACUGUAACUGACGCUGAGGCACGAAAGCGUGGGGAGCAAACAGGAUUAGAUACCCUGGUAGUCCACGCCCUAAACGAUGAUCACUCGAUGUGUGCGAUAUACUGUACGCGUCUGAGCGAAAGCAUUAAGUGAUCCACCUGGGGAGUACGACCGCAAGGUUGAAACUUAAAGGAAUUGGCGGGGGAC